rnacentral:rRNA from 1 species
AGUGAACGCUGGCGGCAGGCCUAACACAUGCAAGUCGAGCGGCAGCGGGUCCUUCGGGAUGCCGGCGAGCGGCGGACGGGUGAGGAAUGCAUCGGAAUCUGCCCUGUCGUGGGGGAUAACCUAGGGAAACUUAGGCUAAUACCGCAUACGACCCACGGGUGAAAGCGGGGGAUCGCAAGACCUCGCGCGAUAGGAUGAGCCGAUGUCCGAUUAGCUAGUUGGCGGGGUAAAGGCCCACCAAGGCGACGAUCGGUAGCUGGUCUGAGAGGAUGAUCAGUCACACUGGGACUGAGACACGGCCCAGACUCCUACGGGAGGCAGCAGUGGGGAAUAUUGGACAAUGGGCGCAAGCCUGAUCCAGCCAUGCCGCGUGGGUGAAGAAGGCCUUCGGGUUGUAAAGCCCUUUUGUCCGGGAAGAAAUCGUCUGGGCUAAUACCCCGGGCGGAUGACGGUACCGGAAGAAUAAGCACCGGCUAACUUCGUG